rnacentral:rRNA from 1 species
CUGAUUAAAAUGAGUGCCAGCAAUCGCGGUCACACUUAAAGAUUAAGUAGUUAAUCGGAUAUAUAGUUAUAAAAAAAGAUAAGAAUAAAAAAUAAUAAAAUUUAGGUUAAAUUAAAAUUAUUAAAAAAAUUCUAAAAAUUUUAGAAGCUAAAAAAAGAAAUAAUAAAAAAGGAUUUGAUACCCUUGUAUUAUCCAUAAAAAUUUUUCCAGAGUAAAAAUAAAAUUUUAUUAACUCAAAAAAUAUGGCAGUAUAAUAAAAUUUUAGGGGUGCUUGAUUUUUUAAAUUAUGACAAUUCACAAAAACCUUACUUUUUUUUUAAAAAAUUUCUAUAUCUCCGUUUUUAAAAAAUAAUAAAAAUUAUUUAUUAAAAUCUUUUUAAAAGAGAAAUUCAGGUCAAGACAGAGUUUAAAAAGAAAAAUUGAGCAUCAUUGUAAAAAAAGGAGUAAUUUAUAAAAAUAAACUUUAUAAAAAAGAGAACUUAAAAGUAAUUUUUUAAUAAAAUAAAAAAAUGAAUUAUUUUUAUUAUAGGUACAAAUUGCCCGUCACUUCCGAUUAAAAUUGGAAUAAGUCGAAACAUAGUAAGUGUACUAGAAAGUGCACCUA